GAUCAUGGCUCAGGAUGAACGCUAGCUACAGGCUUAACACAUGCAAGUCGAGGGGCAGCAUGUUGGUUGCUUGCAACCAAUGAUGGCGACCGGCGCACGGGUGAGUAACGCGUAUCCAACCUACCCUUGUCCGAUCGGAUAACCCGUCGAAAGGCGGCCUAACACGAUAUGCGGUUCACAGCAAGGCAUCUAACGUGAACGAAUGUGAAGGAGAAGGAUGGGGAUGCGU
rnacentral:rRNA from 1 species